CUACCAGACGAGAAACGAAGAAGAUUGUCUCCCUUCUCCUGCUACGGCGACCAUAAAACUUUUCCGAUUCUUCCACCAUCUGAAACGUUUUGCGUAAAAGCUUCGUGAUUAAUCACAUUGAUUCGCUCUCCCACUACGUCGUCUUCAAUGCUACGUUUCGAUAUGAUAUGCGGCGAUCUCCGUAUAAAUAUGUGUGAGUAGUCUUCCCUUUGAUCUCAUCUUAUCUUAGUAACACUAAAAUCUCAUACUCAUCACUUUCAACAUGGCUAAUACUAGGGUUUUUUUCUCCGAUCUGGGUCGGAUGUGAAUUCGACCAUGAUGCAAGCGACCAUGAUAUAUCUCUAAUCAUAAGUUUUUGCUAUCUCCACAUCUCUCUGCUACUCAUCUCUCUGCUAUCUCCACAACUUUCCUAAAGCUUUAGAGAGAU